UACAGAGGGUGCGAGCGUUAAUCGGAAUUACUGGGCGUAAAGGGUGCGUAGGUGGAUAGCUAAGUUAGAUGUGAAAGCCCUGGGCUUAACCUAGGAAUGGCAUUUAAGACUGGUUGUCUAGAGUAUGGGAGAGGUAAGUGGAAUUUCCGGUGUAGCGGUGAAAUGCGUAGAUAUCGGAAGGAACACCAGUGGCGAAGGCGACUUUCUGGCCUGCUACUGACACUGAGGCACGAAAGCGUGGGGAGCAAACAGG
rnacentral:rRNA from 1 species